rnacentral:rRNA from 1 species
UGAAUACGAGACGCUAAGGCGUCGAAGUAGUGUAUGUCAUACUUCCAAGAAAAGCUUGCACUGUCAUAGAUAAAAAACGCCUGUACCAUAACCGACACAGGUGGGUAGGUAGAGUAUACUAAGGGGCGCGAGAUAACUCUCUCUAAGGAACUCGGCAAAAUAACUCCGUAACUUCGGGAGAAGGAGUGCCUUAUUCUUAAGGUUGCAAUAACAAGAUCCAAGCAACUGUUUAUCAAAAACACAGGUCUCCGCUAAGUCGUAAGACGAUGUAUGGGGGCUGACGCCUGCCCAGUGCCAGAAGGUUAAAGAAGCUGGUUAGCAUUUGCGAAGCUAGUAACUGAAGCCCUGGUGAACGGCGGCCGUAACAAUAACGGUCCUAAGGUAGCGAAAUUCCUUGUCGGGUAAGUUCCGACCCGCACGAAAGGCGUAAUGAUUUGGAUACUGUCUCGGAGAGGGGCUCGGUGAAAUAGAUUUGUCUGUGAAGAUGCGGACUACCUGCACCAGGACAGAAAGACCCUAUGAAGCUUUACUGUAACUUGAAAUUGAAAUUGGACUUUAUUCGCGCAGUAUAGGUGGGAGGCGUUGAUUAUAAUCUUGCGGGAUUAUUGGAGCCAUUAGUGAGAUACCACUCUUGUAAUGUUAGAUUUCUAACUUUGAAUCAUUAUCUGGUCAAAGAACAGUUUCAGGCGGGCAGUUUGACUGGGGCGGUCGCCUCCCAAACGGUAACGGAGGCGUACAAAGGUUUCCUCUGAACGGUUAGAAAUCGUAUCUAGAGUGUAAAGGCAUAAGGAAGCUUGACUGUGAGACCUACAAGUCGAGCAGGGACGAAAGUCGGUCUUAGUGAUCUGACGGUACUGAGUGGAAAGGCCGUCACUCAACGGAUAAAAGUUACUCUAGGAUAACAGGCUGAUCUCCCCCAAGAGUUCACAUCGACGGGGAGGUUUGGCACCUCGAUGUCGGCUCAUCGCAUCCUGGGGCGGUAGUACGUCCCAAGGGUUGGGCUGUUCGCCCAUGAAAGCGGUACGCGAGCUGGGUUCAGAACGUCGUGAGACAGUUCGGUCCAUAUCCGGUGUAGGCGUUAGAAUAUUGAGAGGAGCCUUCUUUAGUACGAGAGGACCGAGAAGGACAUACCUCUGGUGUACCAGUUAUCGUGCCAACGGUAGACGCUGGGUAGCUAUGUAUGGAGUGGAUAACCGCUGAAAGCAUCUAAGUGGGAAGCCCACCUCAAGAUAAG